rnacentral:rRNA from 1 species
UACAGAGGGUGCGAGCGUUGUUCGGAAUUACUGGGCGUAAAGGGCUCGUAGGCGGCCAACUAAGUCAGACGUGAAAUCCCUCGGCUUAACCGGGGAACUGCGUCUGAUACUGGAUGGCUUGAGUUCGGGAGAGGGAUGUGGAAUUCCAGGUGUAGCGGUGAAAUGCGUAGAUAUCUGGAGGAACACCGGUGGCGAAGGCGGCAUCCUGGACCGACACUGACGCUGAUGAGCGAAAGCCAGGGGAGCAAACGGG